GUCGCCUUCUCCGGCGUCGGCCUUUCCCGGUGCUACUCGUGGCCCUGGAGCGUCACUUGGUGCAUUUGCUGCGGCGCGCCAUCCUGCCACCUAAUACCUGGGAUAGUGAGGCCCUAAAGCUGGACGAGAAGGCUCCUGGGCACACCGGAGGAUGUCCCACUGGCAUAGGAGAACAAGGUCAGCAAAAAUGGCAGUGCAAAUGUGGAGGAAGAAGGUAAGGUAUACUUCGUAAGCAACUUUGUUCGGUUAUGAGGGUGGGGACUCCAUCAUGUCUUGGCCCCAUGACAAGUUUUCGAGGACUUCCAUGGACAGGACCCAUGACAAGGCUACUCAGGUGGAUGGUGAGAAAAUUGACAUGGAGCCUGAAAAUAUCAGGUUACAUUUGGAGGUAACAAGACAACGUGUUUUGAUAUUAGGUUCGGGAUGAAAAGAAGAUUGAACAACAAAUAAGUGACGCCAAGCUUCAAGAUGAAGCAUUUCUAGCAUUUUAGGAUGGCGGUGAUAGAAGAGCUGGAAGCAAAAGUUAAAGAAAAUAAUAACAAAGAUGUUGCACAAGACAAGAUAAAGGAGCUCGAGGUUCUUAUGCAGAAGUCGAUCAGAUUUUUGGUGGUGAUCGUCAGUGUAGUCAUCGCCUUAGCUGAUGUAUUAACUAACGUGUAUGUAGCUAGAGUAAUUAUUCCAACCGUAUAGAUUCUUCAUUCAUGGAUCUUGGAAAUCAUU